UCGUGCCAGACGGGGAGCCAGCGGUGCCCUGUAACCUGCAAUCCGCUAUAGCAGGGUCAGUUACUGGCAGGCGGUAUAACUCAAAUAGACCAGUUAUUGGAUGUGAAUAAUGUUGAAGGCUGGGCCCAUUAUAGAUAUUUACUUCGAACCCCGUCAGAACCGGAAGGUAGCAGCGGUAAGAAAUCCUAUGUCUGAUAGUGGUUUUCCUGGCUGGAGUUUUUCCUCUUCAUAACCCUAUCUGAAGAGUACCAACUGCCAGGUGCACGA
rnacentral:SRP_RNA from 1 species